rnacentral:rRNA from 1 species
AACGAACGCUGGCGGCAGGCCUAAUACAUGCAAGUCGAACGCACCGCAAGGUGAGUGGCAGACGGGUGAGUAACGCGUGGGAAUCUUCCUUGCAGUACGGAAUAACUCCGGGAAACCGGUGCUAAUACCGUAUACGUCCUUCGGGAGAAAGAUUUAUCGCUGCAAGAUGAGCCCGCGUCGGAUUAGCUAGUUGGUGGGGUAAAGGCCUACCAAGGCUACGAUCCGUAGCUGGUCUGAGAGGAUGAUCAGCCACACUGGGACUGAGACACGGCCCAGACUCCUACGGGAGGCAGCAGUAGGGAAUAUUGGACAAUGGGCGCAAGCCUGAUCCAGCCAUGCCGCGUGAGUGAAGAAGGCCUUAGGGUUGUAAAGCUCUUUUGGCGGGGAAGAUAAUGACGGUACCCGCAGAAUAUGCUCCGGCUAACUUCGUGCCAGCCGCCGCGGUAA